UGAGGAAUAUUGGUCAAUGGGCGCAAGCCUGAACCAGCCAUCCCGCGUGAAGGAAGAAUGCGCUACGCGUUGUAAACUUCUUUUCCAGGGGGAGAAUAAUCCUGUCGUGACAGGACUUGACGGUACUCUGGGAAUAAGCAUCGGCUAACUCCGUGCCAGCAGCCGCGGUAAUACGGAGGAUGCGAGCGUUAUCCGGAUUUAUUGGGUUUAAAGGGUGCGUAGGCGGAUUGAUAAGUCAGUGGUGAAAUUCUACAGCUUAACUGUAGACUUGCCGUUGAUACUGUUAGUCUUGAGUGUGGUCAAGGCAGGCGGAAUGUGUAAUGUAGCGGUGAAAUGCUUAGAUAUUACACAGAACACCGAUUGCGAAGGCAGCUUGCUGGGUCAUUACUGACGCUGAUGCACGAAAGCGUGGGGAUCAAACAGG
rnacentral:rRNA from 1 species